GAAUCUGAAACUGACAGCCUUAGAUGGGCAUCUCCGAAGACAAGUGUCUACAGGGCGGUGUGCCCUCAGUGGAUUCUCAGGAGUGUGAUUUCUGGAUCUACUUCGGUGAAACUUUCUGUCACUGUGGUGAGGAUACUCAAGGCAGAAUGCCUUAUUUGUAUUCUGAGGUGCAUGCUCCCUGGAUCAGUUUAUUCGUCUGUUGCGACCAUAAUCCCAAAGACCAAUAGGGUGAAGUACCCUCCUCGGUCAAUCAAGAAAAUGGCUGUUGGAUCUUCAUCUACUCUGCUUCGACCAUAAUCCCGAAGACCAAUAGGGCGGAAUACCCUUCUCAGUCAAUUAAUCAGGAAAAUGGCUGUUGGGUCUUCAUCUACUCUGCUUCGACCAUAAUCCCGAAGACCAAUAGGACGGAAUACCCUUCUCAGUCAAUCAAGAAAAUGGCUGUUGGGUCUGCUUCGAUCCCAAGGACGGCCUCGAGACAUGUCUUUAA
rnacentral:lncRNA from 1 species